GACGAACGCUGGCGGCGUGCUUAACACAUGCAAGUCGAACGGAAAGGCCCUGCUUUUGUGGGGUGCUCGAGUGGCGAACGGGUGAGUAACACGUGAGUAACCUGCCCUUGACUUUGGGAUAACUUCAGGAAGCUGGGGCUAAUACCGGAUAGGAGCUCCUGCUGCAUGGUGGGGGUUGGAAAGUUUCGGCGGUUGGGGAUGGACUCGCGGCUUAUCAGCUUGUUGGUGGGGUAGUGGCUUACCAAGGCUUUGACGGGUAGCCGGCCUGAGAGGGUGACCGGCCACAUUGGGACUGAGAUACGGCCCAGACUCCUACGGGAGGCAGCAGUGGGGAAUAUUGCACAAUGGGCGGAAGCCUGAUGCAGCAACGCCGCGUGCGGGAUGACGGCCUUCGGGUUGUAAACCGCUUUCGCCUGUGACGAAGCGUGAGUGACGGUAAUGGGUAAAGAAGCACCAGCUAACUACGUG
rnacentral:rRNA from 1 species